CGCCCGCCGCGCGCGGCGGGCCUACGGGAGGCAGCAGUAGGGAAUCUUCGGCAAUGGACGAAAGUCUGACCGAGCAACGCCGCGUGAGUGAAGAAGGUUUUCGGAUCGUAAAACUCUGUUGUUAGAGAAGAACGUUGUGUAGAGUGGAAAAUUACACAAGUGACGGUAUCUAACCAGAAAGGGACGGCUAACUACGUGCCAGCAGCCGCGG
rnacentral:rRNA from 1 species